GCCUAGUUAGCUCGGUUGGUAGUGCGUCUGCCUUGUAAGCGCUAGGCCGCGGGUUCGAUUCCCGCCCGGGGCA
rfam:Asian citrus Psyllid, Diaphorina citri - Florida Strain, whole genome shotgun sequence.